UACGGAGGGUGCAAGCGUUAUUCGGAAUUACUGGGCGUAAAGCGCGUGCAGGCGGGUAUGCAAGUCUGAUGUGAAAGCCCCGGGCUCAACCUGGGAAGUGCAUUGGAAACUGCAUAUCUUGAGUACUGGAGAGGAAGGGGGAAUUCCCGGUGUAGAGGUGAAAUUCGUAGAGAUCGGGAGGAAUACCAGUGGCGAAGGCGCCCUUCUGGACGGUAACUGACGCUGAGACGCGAAAGCGUGGGGAG
rnacentral:rRNA from 1 species